UAAAUCCUAAACCUAAACAGUUACUACAUGUGAUUAUUAUGUAUUUACAUCAAGCAAAGCAAGCAAGCAAGCUGCAGCAUACACGACGGUGACAAUGCCUCCUCCUCCUCAAUACGAACUUGACGGCGGCUCUCGUUUUCGCAAUGUCAAGUUCGCUCCCAUCUCCGACCGCGAGAAAAAUAUCCUUCGCCAUCUCACAGGCAAGCUCACUUCCCUCUCCGAAACCCAGAUAUACCUCCUCUCCGAUGAAGAGUUAACUCGCCACGUCGUGUACGAGUUAUCUCACCUACCCUACGACGAGUUCUGUCGUUUCUUGGCGGCCGAGAUUUCCCCCUUCUUACCUAUCAUCGAUCGAGCAUAUUUAUAUCUGUUAUCUCAGAUUUACCGUAAAGUCGAAGCCAAACCCAAAGAGGAAGAACAAACGGGGAUAGUUGUUUUGAUUGUCGCCUCAGUUUCUAUCUUCGUAGUCACAACAAGAUUGGUGCGCAAUUUCUGCCAGUGGUUGAACACAAGAUUGCAAUAUUCUAAAGGUGAUUUCGUUGUUACUACUACCAUUUCUCUUAAGCCGGAGAAACCUUCAAAUAGUCCCAUUUUUUUCUCUAAAUAUUCAAUACCUGAACCUGAAGGUCUCCAGGGUUUUAAAGACAUUAUAUACCUUCGAAAAGCAAGACAGGAGCGACUGAUACCUUCAAAUAGACCCAUCGUUUCCUCCAAAUAUUCAAGAAGUGCAGAUGUGCAGGGUUAUAAAGUCAUUCAAAAAGGCAAAACAGUUUUUUGACAGGUCAGCUUCAGAUUCUAUCAUAUCAAAUGCUAAUGUUAAACUUGACCAAAACCAAAGCUGUUGCUGAGGUUUGAAUUGGCUCAAUUUUGGUUCUUUGAGUAAGUGUUUUGAAUAGCGGGAUUUUAGAAAAACCUUGAAAUAUCUUUACAUGUGUCUACUAUGCCAAAAAUAAGUUUUAAUAACGGUAUUUGUACAACACUUUUAAUAUCCCUAAACACCUUAUACAACAUUUAUGACAUCAAGCGCUAUAAGAGCAAGCUAUCAAACAUAUAUGAAACUAAAUAAAUAGCACUUUACCUCAUUCUCAAGCUCGCAAACAUCUAAAUGCAACUUCCUUCCCCAUUUACUUACUCAAUAAGGGUUUCUUUCAAAUCUCCUAAGAAACAUCAGCAACCAAGCACAGUCACAAAUCAGCCGUCGAACUUCCGUUGUCCUCAAACACCGUUGUCACCAUUGUAAUUGUAGUAGUCGUGGUUUAGUCCAUUGUGUCGGCUCUCUCUCGUUGCAGUGGUGUUCUCCCCCUCGUUCCUGUCACCCUGUUCUAACUUCCCUGUAGUCGUAUUUUUUCGUCAUCCUAUUCUCGCAGCAGCCAUCGCAGGUUUCUCCCUUAGACACCUCUCGUUUCAUUGUGGCAUAAGCAAUAAGAUUUUCACAAGCGCAUAUCUGUAUUUUUUUAGGUCUUGAAUUAUUUUAAAUUUUAAAGACAGAUAUACAAGAGAAGACAAGGGUCAACUUUAAAAUAUAGAAUAGUUAUUGUUGUUAAUGUCAGCACAGAAAAAAAUAAUUUACUGUCUCUGCAAAAAAAAAAAUCUUUAUAAUUGCAUGGUCAGGGAGAGAAGGGAAAGCAAUACUCCAGUAUCAACAGCUUCCUCCACUGCAACACUUUUAGCUAAAAUUGAUUGGAUUUUGUUUUGUCCAUUGGAUCUGUGCCAAUUAUACAAAUUAACCUUCACUUUGUCAUUCAAUGGUGUACUUAGUAACCCUUUGAAUUUUGUUUUGUCCAUUGCAUCUACCAUCUGCAGAAAGUUGAGCAGCAUCAGGAAGGCACAUAUAGAGUUGUUGUUUGAAGCAGUAGAUCUACUGGCAAAAAGAAAAUCAGAUUAGCUUAAGAGAAGUUUGUUCCAAAAGGAAAGAUUCAUGAAGGUUGUAUUUUUUUUUUUUUAUGCAGAAAGGUUGUCAUUUUCACAACGUUGAUUGCAUGAGUUGAAUUUUACGAUCGGGUUAUUUUGUAAAUAAAACAUUGUGUGGUACUUAGCUUGAAUGUCUUAUACGGUACUAUUCGCAAAAGGUCCCUAUAUAUAAGGUUUGAUUUUAAUCCUGUAAAUUUUUUAUUUCAAUAAUUUUGGUUGGUCCCUCAACAAAUUUAUUUGAUGAUGUGGCGUAGAGACUAGUAUUUGCAUGCUGACUAAUCAUUC